rnacentral:rRNA from 1 species
AGAGUGAACGCUGGCGGUAGGCCUAACACAUGCAAGUCGAACGGCAGCACAGUGGUAGCAAUACCAUGGGUGGCGAGUGGCGGACGGGUGAGGAAUACAUCGGAAUCUACCUUUUCGUGGGGGAUAACGUAGGGAAACUUACGCUAAUACCGCAUACGCCCUUCGGGGGAAAGCCGGGGAUCGCAAGACCUGGCGCGGAUAGAUGAGCCGAUGUCGGAUUAGCUAGUUGGUGAGGUAAUGGCUCACCAAGGCGACGAUCCGUAGCUGGUCUGAGAGGAUGAUCAGCCACACUGGAACUGAGACACGGUCCAGACUCCUACGGGAGCAGCAGUCGGGGAAUAUGGACAAGU